UACGAAGGGUGCAAGCGUUAAUCGGAAUUACUGGGCGUAAAGCGUGCGCAGGCGGUUUUGUAAGUCUGUCGUGAAAGCCCCGGGCUCAACCUGGGAAUUGCGAUGGAGACUGCAAGGCUGGAGUCUGGCAGAGGGGGGUAGAAUUCCACGUGUAGCAGUGAAAUGCGUAGAGAUGUGGAGGAACACCGAUGGCGAAGGCAGCCCCCUGGGUCAAGACUGACGCUCAUGCACGAAAGCGUGGGGAGCAAACAGG
rnacentral:rRNA from 1 species